rnacentral:rRNA from 1 species
UACAGAGGGUGCGAGCGUUGUCCGGAAUCACUGGGCGUAAAGGGCGCGUAGGUGGCCCGACAAGUCAAUGGUGAAAGUUCGACGCUUAACGUCGAAUCGGCCACUGAUACUGUUGGGCUGGAGCACUGUAGAGGCUCAUGGAAUUCCGGGUGUAGCGGUGAAAUGCGUAGAGAUCAGGAAGAACACCGGUGGCGAAAGCGCUCUGCUGGACCUUAACUGACACUGAGGGACGAAAGCUAGGGGAGCGAAUGGA